rnacentral:SRP_RNA from 1 species
CCGUGCUAGACUGGGAGUUGGCGGUCCCUUAACCCGCAUUUCCGCCAUAGCGGGGUCGAAAACCUGCCUUUGGUUUGAGUAUGUAUGGUCUGCCUUGUGAAAAGUAGUGUUGACAAUUAGGUCCAACGCAAUAGAUUCCUACGAAUCGGGUCAGGUCCGGAAGGAAGCAGCCAUAAGUAGACACUUCUAUGUGCCGUUGGGCAGCCUAGUUUGAGCUAACUAUUACAAGUAACGCUUGGAUGCUCUUAUCCAUGUCAGGUGCACGG